rnacentral:misc_RNA from 1 species
GCAAUAUUUGUUUUAUUAUUAUCAUUAUUUACAGCAUUUACAAGCUCUAGCGGAGAGCCGGAUAUACCUUACAAAUGUACUCUAUUCUUCCUUAUUAUGCAUGCAACUAUUAAAUUAUGGACUUGGGCCAGCAGCAGUGGCAGUUAUGGAAUUCAACAAUCUAGCUCUUCGAUGGCAUUCAGAAAAUUUGCCAAGAAUUUUGUAAUGGGAAAUCGCUCAGGUUUCUCUCGUUCAUUUUCAUUUCUCAUUUUCCUUCCAAUCAAUCAUUCUACAUAGGCUCGAGAAAGGGAAGGCUAGUCCUGAGCAGCGCUAUGUACGAAAGAUCAACCUACUCAAAAGUUAAUCCAAUAUUUUCUCACCAGUCGAAAAGAGGUUCCAGACAACGGUUCCAACCAAGUACAGCCCAACUGAAACCUUGAAAACAUCAUCCCAAGA